UGGGAUAUAGCAUAGUUUGCUAACAUGCCAUCUUGGGGUAAUGGAGAUAAUGGGUUCAAAUCCCGCGGCUUCAA
rnacentral:tRNA from 1 species